UUCCUAGUUUAAGGAAAACAAUCCAUUAAAGCCAUAAGGCCCACGAUCCUAAUUCAUCAAACUGAUUCCAGUUUUAUUCUUAUAUGUGUUUUCUCUAAGGAGAUUUUGCUGAACAGCCAUUGUGAAAAGCCUGUGCUUUUUUUUUUUUUUUUAUUAUUAUGUACUAGAGAUUGAACCCAGGACUGUGAAUCGCACAGCUGGGUAACUGGUCUCCCAGCUCAAAUCCAGGCUUCUGAUAUUUCUGAUUACAAAUAAAUGCCAUAGUCCAGCGGCGUGUAAUCCCUGCCCUGAUGGAAGCCUAGGCAAGAGGCUUGCCAAGAGUUCAAGGCCAGCUUGGAUUACAUAGGAAACCCAGCCUGAAUUGCACAGCAAGAGCCCGUCUUCAAGACAAAGCAAAACAAAACAAAAACAGUAGUGAAAAUGUUACCGGACUGAGUCUUCAAGGUUCCCAAAACUUGGAUGAGGACUUAACCCACCCUAAGGAUAGACUGGAGAUUCGCGAACUCUUUAAGUGAAAUAAUAAUUUUUAGGAUGUGUCAGAGGGAAGGGAAGGAUCUACUUGGUAGAGCUUUUAGACUCUGAAGAGUGAAGUGCAGAACGCUCAGAAAAAUGGGACACCUGAGUCCUUGGAAACGAUCUCAAGAUGGACAGUGCAGGCUGUGCGCCCCCGCUGUGUCACCUUACCUAUCUGCCAGGCAAUGUCAGGGUGUAAACCACUUAAUAUGUGUGAAGUUGAGAUCUGCUGCCAGCUAAUAUUGUUGCUUCCUUGAGGGUGGAGGAAGCCCAGUUUACAGGUGAGAAGGACAGGUCCAGAGCCCGCGUGGACAGGCUUACUGUGUCUUUAAGACCUUCAGGAAUUUUUUUUUUAAAGGAUGUCAGCCGGAAGAAAAAGGAUUACGGUCUACAUUCCUCAAAACCCAUCUAGUACACCUCGCAGGAUUCAUUGGCUAUCCUGAGUAAGAAUUGCCUUCUGGAAAGCCCCUGGGCUUCGGGUGACUUUGACUGCUGCUCAGACCCUGAAUCACCACCGACAAGGUUUACGGGGACAUCGCUCACGCCAGAGAGCCACGUGGGGGGAAGUGAUAAACAGUUAUUUACAGACACGGAAGGGUGAGACCCCACUAAGCAUGACGUACGUCAGAACCCCGAUGCUCCAGAUGUCUGUGCCAAGGGAGACGGGGAUGCCUUGGAUCACUUCGGGGGCGGCAAACUCGGGGUUCCCCAGCAGGUGGUGGAUGUGGAAGUGGCCUGAGAUCUGGACAGCAUCUUCCAAGUCAAUGAGCUUCACUCGAGGCACUGGGAUCCGAAGGUCGAUGAGUAGGUUUUCAGGCUGCGGGGAGGCAGGGAAAAGAGAAGCAGGUUCCAGUGAGGCUCUUAAUGAAAACACACUUCUGCUGUUCUGUCAUGAAGUCCUCAGCCACUGGAGAUGCCCUGGGCCAAGGCACAGAUGACUGCGCCCAGGGGGUGUGAACUCACUAAACUCUGAGUGUGGUUGCACUUUGAAGAAGUUGUUGGCCAUUGACAAUUUUGGAAGGAGGGUUUUUUGUUUUAGUUUUGGUGCUGGGGAUUGAACCCAAGGCCACAUGCAUGCUAAACACUGAGCUACACACCUCAGCCCCAAAUCCUGUCUUCUUAACUACCCUUGCUACAGAGGACUCUUUUUGAGCAGCAUGAGGGGACAUUUACUGAUUUCCCUCUGUAAAAUCAGAACAGGUUGUUAAAGCUCUCUAACCGUCUCUUGCCCUGAUCUCAUGGCCUCUGGCGUGUUCUCAUUCCUUUAUUAACAGUGCAUUUAAAUUUUGUCACAAUUUAGCUUCUGUUUAUAUGGAUUCUAAUCUAAGUAAGUAGACUGAAGUUCAUAUUUCUUAGGGUAAGGACUGGAAGGUGGGACCAGGCUUUCUGCUGCCAGGGCACCUUUUUCUCACUACCUUUAUGUCCAAAUGUGCCACCCUGCAGUUGUGAAGGUACUGCAGAGCCUCCAUGAUGUCUCGGAUGUAGAAAGCCACUUUCUCCUCCAUCAGCUCGUCAUGAUUCAUAAGAUAGUCUAAGAGCCGGCCGUCAUCCAUCCUGAAAGGAGAGAGGGAAAGGAGAGGGAGGCAUUGUGAAGAAUCAGAAAGGUGAUGCACGUGGAAGCUUUCGAGUCUCUCUUGCAGGUGAAGAUCAAAACUACAAUCCAUGCAUGCGUUAGAACCCAACGACAGUGCAAUGUUCGGGACUAAAAUAAAGUUACGAAUGUGGAGAAGGAAAGAAAAGCCUUGUGUGAGAAGGAUUUUAAAAUGCAUUCCAAACCCGUGGAAUGUAUUGACGCAAAGCACAAACCCCGAUGUAAACUGGGGACGGGGUUGUCACGUGUGCACUACUCUGAAGGGGCCACAUUCACAGGGGUGGGUGGCACAUGGAAGAUCUAUGUACUUUUCUCUAAAGUUUACGUACACCUGCUCUGAAAUUUUAUUUAAAAGUGCUCUAAAAUAUGAAUUAAUUUUUAAAAAUUGUUUAUAAGGAAAAAGUUCUGAUACCCCUUUAUAGAGGGUUAGUUUGCAUUUCUUGGGGGUAAGGACUGAAAGAUUGCAAAAUAAAGAUACCCUUUAACCAGA